rnacentral:rRNA from 1 species
UACCAGCACCCCGAGUGGUCGGGACGUUUAUUGGGCCUAAAGCAUCCGUAGCCGGUUCUACAAGUCUUCCGUUAAAUCCACCUGCUUAACAGAUGGGCUGCGGAAGAUACUAUAGAGCUAGGAGGCGGGAGAGGCAAGCGGUACUCGAUGGGUAGGGGUAAAAUCCGUUGAUCCAUUGAAGACCACCAGUGGCGAAGGCGGCUUGCCAGAACGCGCUCGACGGUGAGGGAUGAAGCUGGGGAGCAAACCGG